AUUGAACGCUGGCGGCAGGCCUAACACAUGCAAGUCGAACGAGCGGCGGACGGGUGAGUAAUGUCUGGGAAUCUGCCCGAUGGAGGGGGAUAACUACUGGAAACGGUAGCUAAUACCGCAUACUAUCGGAUGUGCCCAGAUGGGAUUAGCUAGUAGGUGGGGUAAAGGCUCACCUAGGCGACGAUCACUAGCUGGUCUGAGAGGAUGACCAGCCACACUGGGACUGAGACACGGCCCAGACUCCUACGGGAGGCAGCAGUGGGGAAUAUUGCACAAUGGGCGCAAGCCUGAUGCAGCCAUGCCGCGUGUAUGAAGAAGGCCUUCGGGUUGUAAAGUACUUUCAGCGGGGAGGCGUUACCCGCAGAAGAAGCACCGGCUAACUCCGUGCCAGCAGCCGCGGUAAUAC
rnacentral:rRNA from 1 species